rnacentral:rRNA from 1 species
UGGGGAAUCUUGCACAAUGGGGGAAACCCUGAUGCAGCGACGCCGCGUGAACGAUGAAGCCCUUCGGGGUGUAAAGUUCUUUCGACAGGAACGAUAAUGACGGUACCUGGAGAAGAAGCUGCGGCUAACUACGUGCCAGCAGCCGCGGUAAUACGUAGGCAGCGAGCGUUGUUCGGAGUUACUGGGCGUAAAGAGUGCGUAGGCGGCGAGCCAAGUUUGGUGUGAAAUCUCCCGGCUUAACCGGGAGGGUGCGCCGAAAACUGGUUGGCUGGAGUAUGGGAGAGGAAAGCGGAAUUCCUGGUGUAGCGGUGAAAUGCGUAGAUAUCAGGAGGAACACCGGUGGUGUAGACGGCUCACUGGACCAUUACUGACGCUGAGGCACGAAAGCGUGGGUAGCAAACA